rnacentral:piRNA from 1 species
UCCAGCCUAAUGGACUGAACAGUGAC